AGAGUUGUAUCCUGGCUCAGGAUGAACGCUGGCGGUAUGCUUUACACAUGCAAGUCGUACGGGAGUUUUUAACUCAAGUGGCGGACGGGUGAGUAACACGUAAGAAUUUACCUUUAGGAGGGGGAUAACAACUGGAAACGGUUGCUAAUACCCCAUAUGCUUUCGAGUGAAAUGGAUUUUUCCGCCUAGAGAGAAGCUUGCGGCUGAUUAGCUUGUUGGUGAGGUAAUGGCUCACCAAGGCGACGAUCAGUAUCUGGUUUGAGAGGACGAUCAGACACACUGGAACUGAGACACGGUCCAGACUCCUACGGGAGGCAGCAGUGGGGAAUUUUCCGCAAUGGGCGAAAGCCUGACGGAGCAAUACCGCGUGAGGGAUGACGGCCUAUGGGUUGUAAACCUCUUUUUUCAGGGAGGAAUAAAUGACGUGUACCUGAAGAAUAAGCAUCGGCUAACUCCGUGCCAGCAGCCGCGGUAAGACGGAGGAUGCAAGUGUUAUCCGGAAUCACUGGGCGUAAAGCGUCUGUAGGUGGUUUAAUAAGUCAACUGUUAAAUCUUGAGGCCCAACCUCAAAAUCGCAGUCGAAACUAUUAGACUAGAGUAUAGUAGGGGUAAAGGGAAUUUCCAGUGGAGCGGUGAAAUGCGUAGAGAUUGGAAAGAACACCGAUGGCGAAGGCACUUUACUGGGCUAUUACUAACACUCAGAGACGAAAGCUAGGGUAGCAAAUGGGAUUAGAUACCCCAGUAGUCCUAGCUGUAAACAAUGGAU
rnacentral:rRNA from 1 species